rnacentral:rRNA from 1 species
AUGCGUAUCUUUGUCAAGACCCCCACCGGCAGGACAAUAUGCCUCGAGGUCCACUCAUCAGACACCCUGUACACUGUCAAGGCAAAGAUCCAGCAGCAGUACCACCUCGUCUUUGAUGGGGUGCAGCUAGAAGACAACCGUACAUUGGCCGAUUAUGGCAUCCAACAUGACUCUAUGAUUGACCUCCAGGAAAAGAUGCAAAUCUACGUGACGGAGACGUGGGGAGGCAGGACCAUCACCCUUGAGGUCGACAGCCUAGACACCAUUGGUAACGUGAAGUCCAAGAUCCAGUACAUGGAUGGAUUUCCCAAGAGCCAGCAGUGCCUCAUCUUUGCCAACAAACAGCUGGAGGACGAUAACCGCACCUUGGCUGACCACAACAUCUGGAAGGAGUCCACCCUCCUCCUUGUCCUCCGCUCGUGUAGGCCAGGAGAAAGUAGAAUGAUGCGCAUCUUCGUGAAGACGCUGACUGGAAAGACCAUCACUCUUGAGGUUGAGAGCUUGUAUACCAUCGACAAUGUCAAGGUGAAAAUCUACGAGAAAGAUGGCACUCCCCCUAUACAGCAGCGCAUCAUCUUUGCUGGCAGGCAGCUGGAGGAUGGCCGCACCCUGGCGGACUACAAGAUUCACAACGAGGAUACCCUUCAUUUGGUGCUCCGCCAAUGUGGUUGCUGA